GGGGCUGUGGCUCAGGGGUAGAGCACUCGCCUCACACGUGUGAGACACUGAGUUCAAUCCUCAGCACCACG
rnacentral:tRNA from 1 species